UACGGGGGGAGCAAGCGUUGUUCGGAUUCACUGGGCGUAAAGGGUGCGUAGGUGGUGAGGUAAGUCGGAUGUGAAAUCUCCGGGCUCAACCCGGAAACUGCAUUGGAAACUACCUUGCUUGAGGAUUUGAGGGGGGAUUGGAAUACUUGGUGUAGCAGUGAAAUGCGUAGAUAUCAAGUGGAACACCAGUGGCGAAGGCGAAUCCCUGGAAAAUACCUGACACUGAGGCACGAAAGCUAGGGGAGCAAACAGG
rnacentral:rRNA from 1 species